UAAAAAAUAAAAUCCUCCCACCCGCCCCAUUUUUUGGUGAAGUUUGAAUGAUAAUCUACUAAUUAAUUUAACUUGGCCUUAUGUUUAACAAAUUGACUUUUGGUUAUGCUUAAGGCAGAAUGCAUCAUCAUGCUCUGAAUACUAUGUUGUAUCAUAAGCCAAAAUUUUGUCUUAUAUGCUCGGCUUUAGAUGGGACGUACUAUGGUACAGCGUUGUCUGUACAUCUGUCUGUUCAGGGUUUUUUGUUUCUCUUUUCAUCUCUGUCACAUACCAAGCUGAAACUCUGUGUAGCUGCUGCUUUGUGGGUCUCUUUAGAUCAUGUUGCAAUUGUGAUCCAUUUUGACCUCUUUUGCAGGAGUUAUGCCCUUCAUUUGAAAAUGGAGAGUGUAUGAUUUGUUCAUCUAACGCCUUCCACAGUUCUCAACUGAGGAGCUUCUCAUUUAUGGAGUGUUUUUAUGGGUAUUAAAGAUGUGCACUUGGCAAGGAUUAUGAUUUUCUCAAGUCCUCAAGAAAAUUGCAGGUUGUUGAACUCGGUAAAUUUUGGGGAAAUAUUUGAAACGCGAAGUAUUUGGUUUGUCCUUUUACAUCCUGCUGCAGUUUUUAAAGCUUGGACCCUUAAAUUAUACAAUGCAAAAAAAAAAAAAAACCAUUUUCACUACCUUAAGUAAAGUCUUGAGAAAAGCAGCCUGCAUACGCUUGUGACCGGCGUAUUGUGUACUGUUUCCGGUGCUCUUAUCAAAGGAACACAAAGAUGACGAUCAGCUGGCAACAGUAGGUCGCCACAUUCAUUAAAAGCCACAACUUUAUGAAACUAAAGAAAAGUUUAUGCUAAUCCAGUGUUUAACAUGGAGGAUUGGAGUUGCUCAUUUAAUUUUGAAUUGUCACCGGGAAGUGGGCAAGACAAGGUUAGAUAAACGUCAAGUUUAUCUAGAUAUGCAACUGUUAUUUCCCUGUCUACUUUUAGCUUAACACGUCAUCACAGAUGAAACGUAGAGAUAAUCGGAAGAUCCGCCUUUUCUUCAUCUUCGCUAGCCAAGGGUUGUCGGUCCUCUCCACUCCCAGUUUAUGGGGAGCGGAGUGGACCGAAAAUCCUUGGCUAGCAAAGAUGCCUUUUCACGGAUCCGGUUCUGAUUUAAUAUUGCAGCUUUUAAUUUAUAUGGUCGGAAUUAAGGAUGUACUCUACAUCGUCAUAAUGGCUGACUUCCUUUUAAAAUAUGGAUGAAAAUAUAAAUAUCAGCAAUAUUGGUCUAUUCAUUUCAAAAAUCACCGCCUAGCUGAGUAGGUUAGCACGUCGACUGCUGAACUGUAGAUGCGGGUUCGGCUCCAGCAGGGGUUUUAAAAGAAAUUUCGGAUUGCUAUCGACUAAAACUGCAUUUUUUGACUAAAUAAGAUAGAAGCGAAUUUUAGCAACUUGAGCCAAACCUUCAAUGCGGAAGAAGCCAUAAAACGUGAAUGAACCUAAACAGCGACGCAAACUGACGCAAAAAGCAGGCCAAGCGCUCAUUGAGUUCACGGCCAGGUGAAGGGGUACUCAUUUAAAAAUAGAAUUCAGUUAAUAUAUGUACAACAUGCUCUCUGUUCUCUUGAGGUUUUUUUUUUCCUGGUCAAACUUGAUCAAUAUCUGAUGAAGGUAUGCCUUACAGUGUUUGAUAGCUAGCUACAACAUGGACUCAGGUAUUGUCAGACAUUGCAUUGUUCUAUUCAAACACAGAUUACUUGUCGAAACAUAAUAUGAGACUUGAUUUAAAUCUUUUAAUGGUGGAAGAAACUACAGGGUGCUCCUCACUGUAAUACUAUAUGUGUAUCGUACGUCUAGGGUAAAAUUAUGUCACAUUGUAAUUUUUGAAAUUUACUGGGUGUCUGUACGGUAAAUACAAAAAAAAAAAAUAAUUACAAUAUGACAGAUAACAUUUAUAUAAAGUGACUUGUGCUAAUUUUAAAAGAUCGUAGGGAAAAGACAUAUCCUUCUGAUAUCAAAUUUUAUUUUACAAUAUACAGUGUAAUAUUUCAUAAUACAGAUGUAUUUUCCUCAUUAUAUGAAGACUGAAGAAAAUACACUGUAGUGUGGCAAUCACUGAUGAAAUAUAAUUCACUUGUGACAUAAUGUAGUACGUGUGGUUCCAGGGGCGGAUUGAGAAAUUUGAAAGGGGGUGAGGUUCUACCAAUAAUUUUGGUUUCCACUCUCAAAAUGCGUUAUUUUUACCUUUUUUAGUGUCUGACGAUAAGGAGGGGGGGAGGCGACCCCCGGAACCACAUCUGGAUCCACCACUGGGUUCCAUCCGCAUCCGUUAAUGUUAUUAUCAAAUGCUACAGUGAAAGAAAUGCCCCUAUUCAAGAAUUCCUAGAGAUAUAUUUUAUUUACAAGUUUUCGCAUUCAUUUAUAUAUACAAUUAUAGACUUCCAUAUCAAAUUAGAAAAAUCCCCUGCACGUCACAGUGCUUUCAUAAAGAAAUGAGAACAAGAAAACAGCAGAGGAAAUAUUAUUUAGUGAAUAUAACACUAAGUACAUGCAUUCACCACUAAUGACACAAACUAUACACUAAUGACACACAAUAUACACUAAUGACACAAAAUAUACACCAAUGACACAAAAUAUACACCAAUGGCACAAAAUAUAAACUAAUGACACAAAAUAUAAACUAUGACACAAAAUAUACACUGAUGACACAAAAUAUACACUAAUGACACAAAAUAUACACUAAUGACACAAUAUACACUAAUGACACACAAUAUACACCAAUGACACAAAAUAUAAACUAAUGACACAAAAUAUAAACUAUGACACAAAAUAUACACUGAUGACACAAAAUAUAAACUAAUGACACAAAAUAUACACUAAUGACACAAAAUAUACACCAAUGACACAAAAUAUACACUAAUGACACAAAAUAUAAACUAAUGACACAAUAUACACUAAUGACACACAAUAUACACCAAUGACACAAAAUAUAAACUAAUGACACAAAAUAUAAACUAUGACACAAAAUAUACACUGAUGACACAAAAUAUAAACUAAUGACACAAAAUAUACACUAAUGACACAAAAUAUACACCAAUGACACAAAAUAUACACUAAUGACACAAAAUAAACACUAAUGACACAAAAUAUACACCAAUGACACAAAAUAUACACUAAUGACACAAAAUAUAAACUAAUGACACAAUAUACACUAAUGACACACAAUAUACACCAAUGACACAAAAUAUAAACUAAUGACACAAAAUAUACACUAAUGACACAAAAUAUACUCUAAUGACACAAAAUAUACACUAAUGACACAAAAUAUAAACUAUGACACAAAAUAUACACUGAUGACACAAAAUAUAAACUAAUGACACAAAAUAUACAGACACAAAAUAUACAAUAAUGACACACAAUAUACACUAAUGACACAAAAUAUACACUAAUGACACAAAAUAUACACUAAUGACACAAAAUAUACACCAAUGACACAAUAUACACUAAUGACACAAAAUAUACACCAAUGACACAAAAUAUACACUAAUGACACAAAAUAUACACUAAUGACAUAAAAUAUACACCAAUGACACAAAAUAUACACUAAUGACACAAUAUACACUAAUGACACAAAAUAUACACCAAUGGCACAAUAUAUACACUAAUGACAUAAAAUACACUUAUACAAAAGAUAUACUCUAAUGACACACAAUAUACAUUAAUGACACAAAAUAUACACUAAUGACACAAAAUAUAAACUAAUGACACAAAAUACAUGUACACUUAUACAGAAGAUAUACUCUAAUGACACAAAAAAUACACUUGUAGAAAAUAUAUACACUUAUACAAAAUAUACACUAAUGACAAAAGAUAUACACUGAUGACAAAAUAUACACUUAUGAUAAUGUAGUAUUGAUGUCAAUUUGCAUCAAGUGAUGAUACGAGUGCACCAUGAGAGACAUCAACCACUAAUGAUAUGCUUUUUCAUGUGCUACAAUUUUUAUCAUUCAUAAAUUAGCAAAUUCAUUCACUAUCAAACAAUAGGAAAUAGUUUCAGUCAUUAAUGUCGUCGUGUUUUUUUUUUACGAUACUGUUAUACAUGUUGUAUCAUAAAGGGCUGGAAAUUUAACUACUACAGCAUUGUAUUUUAUUUUUUUUACCGAAUUAGAAAUUCUAUAUUGCAUUCCACACAUACACUGAUUGGAGAGGUUUACAAGGAGUGUCGUUCAGCUUCACUGAUUCUAAACCCAAGUAAAAUACAAAUAUAUAAAUCAUAACCAAACAUGUUCAAACCACGUACAUAUAGCUGAAAUAAUAAAACGGCUAUAAAACGAGUACAGUGUUUACUCAUAAACACUUGUAUUUACCAAGUAUAGGUUGGUACACACACAAAAUAGGUAACUGCGCCGUGAAAUUUAAACUGCUCAUAAUCUAUGUCUAUUGAUAUCAACGGCCACUCUAUUGAUAUCAACGGACACGUGCAGUCAGUAUGCGUGUAUGCCGAAUAUAAUACCUGGUAUUCAAUAUGACUUAUUGAUCUUUGAUAGCAAUUUCUAGUUCUGUGUGUGGCCAAAAAUGUAAAUUUAAGGACAUAUGCGUGCAAAAAUGGGACCUGAUUACUUAUUGUCCCGAGUCUUUACAACCAAUUUAGUGUGUAGGACUACUGCAAAAACCAGUGAAAUCUACAGUCUAUUAUUCAGAGGCAAUUCUAUCAUGUUCUUAAGAAUUAGCUGAGCGUCACUAUACUUUGGUUGAUUUCCUGUGCACAGAUCGAAGCGCCGUAGCACUGCAAUAAACAUGGCUGUUUGAAUUUUCCAGUACGAAUAUGAAUUACGUUGCUAAUAAUAUGGGCACCAAUUUUGAGAUGUGUUCUAUUAAUAUUAUAAAGUGCCAGGUCAGAAAUAAAACUGCAUCGGAAACAUUUUAACAAACGCGGAAAAGUUGUUUCUAAUUAGUCUUCAUCUAAAAACAAGUUGAUAAUCAAUAUUUGUCUGCUUCCGGGUGCUUCGCCAUCUGUGACCCCAACAGGACUUUCUGUAUGCCCGAAGGGUUGGGGGGCAACAUUUAAGACGUUCCUAAAAAUGCUGGAUCUGCCCCUGCAUGAGUGGUUUAUGUAUUUCGCAUGAAUCCGGAACUUUGUUUAGGAUUCCUCGUGGAAGGGGAUUAUUAGGGAACACAACACCAGCUAUCUAUGAACAUCUCCACGUCAAGGGCAUACAAAAUCUGCAAUUGAAAGAAGAAAAUAAGCGUUUUUCACUCUACAAAACAUGAAUGUUUUAGAUCUAGCAGGCACUCUGUCGAUAUUAAAACAAAAGGUUCCAAGAAAACAAUUCCGUCUGAGGCAUCUAGAAAAACUGUUCCUUUCCUUAGUUAAAAUCAACGUGCAGCGUGUAUCAUCAGAAAUCAGCUAUUUGGCAGGUGUACAUGUAAUUUGCAUUCCUAAACAUUUCGAUGCAUUUAGUAAAAACAAGCCAAAAAAAAAAAAAAAACCCUAACCCUAACCCUAACCCUAACCCAAACAAAAAAAACAUAAAAAAAAACAAGAACAAAAACCAAACAAAAACAACAACAACCAACCCCAACCCCCAAAUAAAAACCAAAAAUGAAAAAAACAAAAAAAAAAAAAAAACAACAAACAAACAACCUAAUUAAUGCUUCUUAGAACUAUUUAUUUCAUUUCUCGGUAAAAGCACUCAACAUUUCAAAUUGACACAGAUAGGGAAUAAAUGUCUGACUUGUUUUUAAUAUGGGAAUGUACACACAUGUAUUUCGCCGAUAUUCAUAUGCAAAAUUUCCCCAUCUUUCCAUUGUUAUACGAGCAUAUUACAAACAUAAAUCAUUGAAUGCAGAAAUAUCUUUAAUUUUCACACAGAUUCAAUAUGUUUUCGUGUUUAAAUCUUUAGGUUUAAUAUUAAGAGAACCAAACAUGACGGACGUAUUCAAUUUAUUUUCACACCAAGUGUACAGGAAUUGUUAUGCAUCGAUUUCCUGCAUUUUCUACAAUAGACGUUCGUAAUUAAUUACGAGACGUGUAGAUGUUCCAAGGGUUACUCUUUCUGUUUCUGAUUGUUGCAUUCAAGAUGACGAUACCACAACAUAAAAUAUGAAUGACUGAUUCGUUACACAAAUGUGUAGGGUAUACAUGUACAUGUAUAAAUAUAUGAUUACAUACACACGUCCUUUUUGCAGCCUAUAUACCUGUUUUGACAUUGAUUAUUGGUUUGUGUACUUCCCACGAAAACAAAAUUGUUGUUUGUGAAAACGAAAGUGGAAUAUUUAUGCUUCAUUACCGUUUUAAGAACCAGACACUUGCCACAACAUUCCAAUUUCUGUGACCGAGGUUCUAAAAAUAACUAUGAUGUAAUUCCCAAAUUACAUAAUACCCUUAAAUAUACACCUUCGCGAUGACAGAAUAAUUGUUGAGAAUGUUUCUUGCCCCGUCUUCCCGGUGUAUGCAUUUUCCCCGUUAUACCAGAUAGUUUACAUUGGAAAUUUAUAAGGAGAACAUGAAAAUGUAUCAAAAGUGUGAGAAUUUAUCAAUUGACUUUUUUGAAAUAACGUUUUUGUUUUCUUGAUGUCAUCGGUAUUGGUACCCUAAGAUAGAUCCCAUUAAUUCGAGAUUGAUAAAUUCGAUUUCAUAGUCUAAUUCCCCAAAUCUUUUUUUUUUUUUAUUAUUAUUCUGAAAUUUUGGCAGGAGGGCUAAUAGGACAGAACAAUAGAAAAUUCUGAUCUGAAUAACUUAUAGUAUUCCGCCGGGCAAAACUAUGUGAAACAGGAAUAUGAUAUGCCUGUACAACAUUUUAAUUUUCUCAUAUGCAUUAGUCAGAUGAUCAAUGUGCACCAUUUCUAUUCAAAAGUCCAUGUUAAACAAAAAUCCAAUCAGUCAAAUACAUAUACCGAUAUUGACGGUUUUUCCAGUCGAUGGAUGAUGCAAACACAUGGGCAUAUCCAUUAUAAAUCAAUCCAACUACAUCCAUUCCUAAUAACAUAUCAUUAAGGAAUACGCGUAUUGCAGACUUCAGUACAGUUAUAUUGCGGAGGGUUAUCUGUCAGAAAGGACCCCGUUUUCGCGUGCAAUUUCGCACGUUUGCAGGUUUUCUAGUAGGCGAGAAAAUUAUCAAACGUUUCCAUAUAUCACGAUUAAUUUCUGGCAGCCGUGUAAAGAAAA